rnacentral:lncRNA from 1 species
CUUGAGCUUUGUGUUGACCAAAUUAGAGCUUAUCUAUGAUGCUAUUAGUAUAGAAUAGGUAGAGACACCACCUUGCACCAUCAAUUAGGUGAUAUAGCUUGAUUUUAUUGAAGAUUAAUUGUAGUUUCAUGAAUGGAGAGAAAAGGCAUUCUAGAUCUAGGGUUUCCUUUUUUUGUUUUUGUUUCAUGAAUUUGUAAUGUGGUUGGCAUGAAUAGUUAUUGGUAAACUAAUAGUUGUUGUUAAUAUUAAUUGUUUCUAAUAAUGGUAGAUCAUAAUUGGUAAAAUUAAUUAUGUCUAAUAAUCGUUUCUAACACAAUUAUUACUAAUAAUGAUAGAUAAUAAUUGUUGCUAAUAAUGGUAGAUAAUAAUUGUUACUUAUUAAUUGUUGCUAAUAAUGGU